rnacentral:rRNA from 1 species
UGGGGAAUUUUGGACAAUGGGGGAAACCCUGAUCCAGCCAUCCCGCGUGUGCGAUGAAGGCCUUCGGGUUGUAAAGCACUUUUGGCAGGAAAGAAACGUCGCGGGUUAAUACCCCGCGAAACUGACGGUACCUGCAGAAUAAGCACCGGCUAACUACGUGCCAGCAGCCGCGGUAAUACGUAGGGUGCAAGCGUCAAUCGGAAUUACUGGGCGUAAAGCGUGCGCAGGCGGUUCGGAAAGAAAGAUGUGAAAUCCCAGAGCUUAACUUUGGAACUGCAUUUUUAACUACCGGGCUAGAGUGUGUCAGAGGGAGGUGGAAUUCCGCGUGUAGCAGUGAAAUGCGUAGAUAUGCGGAGGAACACCGAUGGCGAAGGCAGCCUCCUGGGAUAACACUGACGCUCAUGCACGAAAGCGUGGGGAGCAAACAGGAUUAGAUACCCUGGUAGUCCACGCCCUAAACGAUGUCAACUAGCUGUUGGGGCCUUCGGGCCUUGGUAGCGCAGCUAACGCGUGAAGUUGACCGCCUGGGGAGUACGGUCGCAAGAUUAAAACUCAAAGGAUUGACGGGGUCAUAGCUGUUUCCUG